rnacentral:rRNA from 1 species
UAAGACGGAGGGCGCAAGCGUUGUUCGGAUUUACUGGGCGUAAAGGGCAGGUAGGUGGUCUGUUAGGUCUUCUGUGAAAAUCCGGGGCUCAACCCCGCGAAAUGCAGGUGAAACUGGCAGACUGGAGACCGGUAGAGGCUAGCGGAAUUCCUGGUGUAGCGGUGGAAUGCGUAGAUAUCAGGAAGAACACCUGUGGCGAAGGCGGCUAGCUGGGCCGGUUCUGACACUAAACUGCGAAAGCGUGGGGAGCAAACAGGAUUAGAUACCCUGGUAGUCCACGCCGUAAACGAUGGGCACUAGAUGCCGGGCAUAUAGACGUGUUCGGUGUCGUCGCUAACGCAAUAAGUGCCCCGCCUGGGGAGUACGGUCGCAAGGCUG